rnacentral:rRNA from 1 species
AGCUCUGUAAGCGUAUACCAAAGUUGUUGCAGUUAAAACGCUCGUAGUCGAAUUUUGGUGUGAGUUAUGGAGACUCCUACUGGAUGUUGAAGUAACUUCGCCUUUGUGGAGGGGGGUGUGGUGGUACUUUAUUGUAUUGCUGCAUUUCCGCCACUGUUUACUGUGAAAAAAUUAGAGUGUUCAAAGCGAGCGUUUGCCAUGAAUACAUUAGCAUGGAAUAAUAGAAUAGGACCUGGUUCUGUUUUAUUGGUUUGUCUGUAUCAGGUAAUGAUUAACAGGGACGGUCGGGGGUAUUUGUAUUCCAGCGUUAGAGGUGAAAUUCUUGGAUCGCUGGAAGACAGACAGCUGCGAAAGCGUCUACCAAGGACGUUU